rnacentral:lncRNA from 1 species
ACAAGUGUCUGCGGCUAUCCGGAUAUCCCCGAAGAGCAGAGACGCAAGCGGCGAUCCGGCGGCGAGAGACUGAGGAUGCAUCCCACAUGGCGGAUGGCUUCCCGCAUCCGCUUCGUUCCCCCUCCGUUAGCGCUGGCAGAGGAGGUGGCGAGCGUGUGGCAGCUGGACCGCUGCAGUAGGGCCUGAACUGUCCUGCCGUGGCUGAGCAUCGGCAGGCGGUGGCAACAGCGGUGGGGGCGGGGGAACUGGCCCUUGAGGCCGGGCGGGAGCUGCUGCCUUCCGCUACCCCCGCUGCGACCCCCAACGCUGCCAGCUGGCUGAGAGGAGGCAAGCGACUCUGACGGCCAGGUCUUCUACAUAGACUACAACACCCGCCAGACGUAGUGGAUCGACGCCGAGAACCGUAGUUCAGCUGCUCUGGAAGAGAUACCUAUUUUUGUGGAAUUGUAAUUUUGCUGAAACAGCAUUUCCAGUGAUUAUCUGGAUAUCUUGUUCUGUCGGGAACAAUUUCGCUGCACUCUGGGGUGAGUACCAGAAAGGAAAUACUGCAAGCUUCCCAGUAAUUUUAAGGCAAGAAAAGGCUCAACGUGGUGACAUGGUCCUGUUCCCUUUUACUUGCACAAGAAAGGCAGAGCUGCAUGGUACUGACAUUUGAAAAUAAAGUUUUGAGGAGGGAAGCGAAUUGUUGUUUGACGAUUUCUCUGAGUCUGAUAGGGAGAAACAGACCAAAAGGAGCCAUAACAUUGUUUCUCAGCAUUUCAACCGUGUGGACUCAAAAACUUCCAUGAAUUGUAGCCCAAAUUUAAAUAUUAGUAAGAUGCUUAGUUACUUGAACAAUUAAGGGAGAUGGCAAAAUUUUGAUCAAAUGCCAGAGCCACAGCUGCCUGAUCAAUCUGUGAAUGGUUCUGAAAUGACUGAAACUGGAAUGUGGUCCCUUUUUAUGCUGUAUGUGGGUUAAAAACCCAAACACUGGAAAAUGAACCAAUUGAAAAAAGCCAUUUUGCUUUGAAGAGGUUAAAGCUCGUUUUAUGAGUGUAAUAUAAAACAAUUUGGCCAUAUUGGAAAGAGAAUUCAUAAUGAAAAUAUAAAGAAAUGUAUAAAUUUCUGUUUUGGUGAUAAACAACAUAAAUGUAUAGAAAUCAGAUUGUAUAAUCUUAAUUUCCAUGUAAUUCAUAUAUGUUUCUUGUUUUCCUUUUUAUAAAAAUUAGUUUCUGUUAUUAAAUAUCAUUUUGCAUUUUAUUCAGAAAUCAUUUAGUUAUAGGUCUAAAAUAAACACUGCUUAAAUGCUGAGAGUACCAAUCCAAUGAACAAAAUUGAAUAUUUUUCAUUUUUUGAUGAUGUAAAAACAUAGAAGUACAUUUAUGAGAUUCAAAAGUGUAACAGCAGCAUGAACUUCAUUUCCCAUCAUACCUUGCCUGUAGUAUGAAUGGAAUGUUUGGCAAGCCAAAAACUUUUCAUGGAGUUGGCUGAAGGGUUUCAUAAUUGUUAUUUCUCUCUUAAGAAGAAAAUUUUCACUUUUUGUAGGUGAUUGUUCCUUAAACUUUUAAUUAAUUUUUAUUGCACAGAAUUUUGUGCUUCUAAAAUUCACUGCUUUCUUCAUCUGCGUCUGGCAUUUAAAGCCCUUUUUAAAAGAGUAAAAUAGUACCAUUUGCAGCAACAUGGGUGCAACCAGAGAGUCUCAUAUUAAGUGAAGUAAGUCAGAAAAAGAAAGAUCCAUAUGAUAUCACUUAUAUGUGGAGCUGAAAAAAGUGAUACAAAUGAACCUAUUUACAAAACAGAAACACUCACAGACAUGGAAAACAAACUUAGUUUACUAAAGGGGAAAGGGGAGGAAAGGAUAAAUAAAGAAAUUUGGGAUAUCAGAUAUACUAUAUAUAAAAUAGAUAAACCACAAAAUUCUAGGGAAUAGAUAUAGAAUAUCUAUAUCUUGUAAUAACCAUAAUGGAGAAUAAUAUGAAAAAUCACUUUCCUCUACUCCAGAAACUAACACAACUAUACUUAAAAAAACCAAAAACCAAAAACCUCUUUUUAAGUCAUGUUUAAUUUGUGUUGUGCUCAAUAAUUGAGAAUUGGAAGUUCUGAUAAUGGUGAAGUGGAAAUGAAUCCAACUAGAAUCCAUGAGUGCCAGAGGCCAGCUCCGGCUGCCAGGGAUUGCACUUUCCCCAGAGGAGAUGGACGGCAUUGGUGAAUACAAGGGAGACAGCCUUCUUUCAGGACGCUGGACUGCUCAAAUUUUAUUGGCGUAAGUGGUUGAUUAUAUAGACAGUUUUUCACUACAGAUUACAUCACAGUGUUAAAAGUACAUUGGUUAACUAUUAGGCUUUGUUUUUUGAUCACAUGGUACAGUAGCAAUACGUCAUGUUCUAAAAUCUUUAGUUUAACUGAAUUUAGUGAGUACAAUUCAAGGACAAACAGGCACAGCAUAUCAUGUGGGAAAGAGGAGACCCAGCACAAACCAUCUCAUGGCCAGCCAAUUCCCACAAGCUGAAGAAGUUACGACACAAAAAAUCUUGUCUUCAGACUAGUGUCCAUCUUCAAAGUGUCCUUGGCAGGGAAAUAGCAUGAGAAAAUACAAAUCAACUUAGCCAGCUACCACUAAAAGCUUCCAAAAUCAAGGACAAAACUCAUAGCUGGGUUUCUUUUGAUCAUGAAUAAUAUGUGUGUAACUUCUAUAGACCUCAUUAAAAUCCUAACUCUAAAGUUUACUGUAUAACUAGUUAGUAGAUAAACACUAUGUUUUAAUUAAGUUGGAUUUAAAUAGGGGAAAGUCCUUUAGGAUGAAAUUCUUAUUAUACUAUUGUUGCAAUUUUGUUAAAUCACAAAUCACCACAGGAAAAUAAGAAUGGGAACUAAGAAUAAUAAGCAAAUAAUCAGGAAAGACUGAGGAAAACUGAAUAACAAAUAGAACAGCAGGAAAGACUAGGUCACCUGAGAAACAAUCCAUGUUCUCCAGCGCAAACAUGGAGAUUGUUUUCCCAGGAAAGCCCCAAUUCUUCCCCAUCAACAUCAACAUGCCCUCGGAUUGCACUGUACAGACAGGUCUCAGCCUGUGCUCGGUUUUUCACCAUACAGACAGGCUUCUAUUCCAACCAGAAGCCCACCUUCGGCUUCCACCGUUCAGGUGAGCUCCCUUCCUUGGUUCCUUGUAUCUUUUUGGCUCCCCACACGUGAGGAUGCAUGUUCAAUCCCCAGCCUUGCUUGGUGGGUUGGGCAUCUGGCACUGCUGUGUGCUGUGACUCGGAUCCUGUGUUGCUGUGGCCGUGGUUCAGGCUGGCAGCUGUAGAUCCUACUUGACCCCUAGCCUGGGAACUUCCAUAUGCUGAGGGUGUGGUCCUAAAAAGCAAAACAAAAAAACAAAAAAACAAAAAAAAAAACAAAAACCAAAAAAC